CUAAGUAUGUUAUAUGUUUGUUUGAAGUCACAGCUUUUCUUCUGACUACUGUAAUGGGAGUGAGGUUUAAGAGGUCCAAGAAAUUAAUGCCAGCAGGAAUCGUAGCAGGCCUAAGCCUUCUCAUGAUUCUGAGACUUGUUCUUAUGCUGGUAUGAGAGACCAAAGCAGCAAGAAGCACCACUUGUAUCAUUCCGCAGGAAGAAACCAACCUUUUCAUACAUAUGAAUGUCUCUAAAUAUCAAGCACCUUUUUGUUAAUGACUACUCAAAGACAAUGUUACUCCUCAUGGAUUUUGGGCUGCAUUCUUUGUAUCAAAUUGUUUCUCUUUUAAGCAUUCCCUAAGGAUAUUUUCUUUGUGAUGUUUUGUUGACAUCUUGUUUAGGCAAGUGCAUAGCUUGUCCUUUUACUUAUGACCAUGACUUUUUUUUUUUGGUGGAGUAAGUUGCUUUCAGUGAUGCCACAGAAAUAAAUAAGAAUCCCAGGAUCUUUCAAACUCAAGUUUGUUGUACAGAUGGCACAUACUUAAAUACAUAUGCAGUCCUGCAUAAUUUUCACAUUAAGGGUAUUUCACAUGACCGAUACAGUGGGCAGGCAGGGGGAAGGCUGCAUAAAACUUCACACACAUCCCAUUUUUAUAUCAUAAAAAUGAUGAUUUUUAUCAUCAGUGAGCAGAAAGAGUUUUGCUCUGGGCAGCAGUAUCAAGGCAGUGUAUACACAUAACACACUGAAAGAAUUAAUGCAAUUUUUUAGAUCUCCCCCAGGCCCCUACCUCGAUAGGUUUCAAUAAAUUUUUUAAAAAGCUGCCGCAGCAGUCAUUUUCUAGCAGUAGUAGGAAAAGUUCCCCCUUUUGCCCCCUAAAGAUCACUGGUGGCAGGAUGGGGCGUGGUGGCGGUGGCUGGCUGCAGGGAUGGGGGGGCAAGGGGGGUGCCUUUUAAAAAAAAGUCUGAGGAAAGCUGGAAACGGGCUGCAUACAGCAGAGCCCAUGCAGUCAAUGGAGGGGAGGGGAGGGGAGGUGGAAGGAGCUUGCUGCCUUGCAUUCCCCCCCCCCCACUGCACAAUGGAGGGCUUUCAGAGAUUAAAAAAGAGGGCAAAGCCCACUGUGCCCAGCCUGGCGGGGGCAGGAGGAGGAGACAGCCAUGGCCUGGGCGGGGUGCCGGGCAGUUGAGCGGUGAUGGCUAGCGCACCAGAGACUGCGCACUUCCUAGAAAUCGCUGCAUGGGGGCCUGGGAGCUUAUGCGCACACCUUAGAGGAAACAGUGCCCCCCUCUGGCCCAGAUGAGCACUCCAUGCGUAGCCCAAGCACACACGAGAUCCUGGCAGCCGAGUUAAGGGUGUGCUCACACCCUUAACUGGGUAAAAGCCGGACUUCAAAGUAAGGUUUAGCUGGGCAGAUCCCGCCGGCCCUUCGCACACGCAGCCUAACCCAGGCUAGGCUGUGUGUGAGAGAACCUUAUUGUGACAUGGAGGGAUACAAACCUAGUUGUACCUGAACCUUGAUUUAUUGAUCAUGUGAUAUUGUAUUGGACUUUUAAUAACAGAUUAGCAAUGUAUUGCUAGUCUGUAUUUGUUUCAUAAGGCACUAGAACACUUAUGUUUCUGAAACACAGUAAAGUUUCAAUUGUUUGGAAAUCUAAAAGGUAGAAACUGCCAAAACUUGACUAAUAAAAGUGUCAUCUUGAAGCCA